rnacentral:sRNA from 1 species
CUCCAAAGCCUACUACAAAACAACCGGUUCAAACCAACCCAACCACCAACCAACCAUCAAGAUGUCUCCCUGCGCUUGCAACUGCUGCUCCGGUGACUGCAACUCCUGCGCUUGCAGCACCUGCAGCGUAAGUCUCC